rnacentral:tRNA from 1 species
GAAGUAUGAUGCUCAAGAGGAAGCUGCUAACUUUUCUCUUUAGUGGUUUAAUUCCAUUAAUAUUUCU